AUUCUUUCUUCUUCGUUCUAAAAAGAACAUCGAUGAGAUUGUUUCAAUCUAGGUAUAAACAUAUUUUUUUCAUCUGAUUUAAUUCACAAAUUAGGGGUUCAGAUUUCGUUAAAAAAUUAGGGUGUCGAUUCGAUUAGAGUUUUAGUUUAGUUAGAUUCAUAUGAUUUAGAUUCCCAACUUUGGGGUUUUGAAGAUAAUCUGUUAUCGAUCUUUAUUCUUCAUCUACAGAUUUUUUUUUUUUUUUUUUUUUUUGUGAUGGAGUUGAUGGUGAUGAUAUAGUUUCAGUAAUCACAAAUUCAGUAAUAAGCAUUCUCAAAUCCAAAUUCACAAUAAAACCUAUUUCCCCAAAUACAAUUUCAGUAAUCUUGAUGGGUAACUCAAAUCCACAAACCGCAAAUCCCGACUAGAAUUUGGAACUCAAAUUCCCAAAUUCCAAUCUUCCCCCAAUUACAAUCUCCGUCAAACCUGCAGAAAACAAUAACUAAUUACCAAGAGUAGCAGCAGCAAGUUCAAUUAAUCCAACACAUCAAGUAAGUGCUUGCUUAUCACCCAUGCCAGGUUGUAGAGGAUCUUCUUAAUCUUGACAAAAAAAAGUAUUGCCCAUUAAUCUGUAGGCUGAACGAUCACGUACAAAUAUACUAGACAGCAAAACUAAGCAGCAUAAUCUUUAAACCCUUUAAGCUAUAUUCUCAAUUUUAUUUCGAAUUGUGUAUGGGUUUUGUGAAUUAGGAUUGGGUAUUCGUGUGCGUUUUCCUUCGUUCAAUAUAAAUAUCCAGAUGAAGCUUGGAAGCUGUUGAAAUGCUUGAUGGACUUCACCUCCCAAACAAGGAGGAAAGAUUUGCUUAACUUGAUCAAGUGGAUAUGUGUUGUCUAUGAAGGUUGUUGGGGUUUUGUUCCGUAUACAAAAUUAUAUGGCUGAAAUUGGACUUUAGGUAACAGUUUUGCAGCAGAAAACAAUGAUCUAAUGCUGUCAAAACCGUGGCUAAAGGUCAGUUUCGGGUUUGGAAUGUCUACAAGUUUUACAUGGGUUAGGAAACUUGUAUGACGGUUUGGUAGAGUGUUUCCAAGUUUAGGGUUUCCUAAUUAAGGCGGAAGACCAUUCUUAGAAGUUCUAGAAGACUUGGGAAGCAAGGAUUUGUCUACUAUAUAAGAGAGCUUAUAUUGUGAAUAGAAAAUACAUUCUCUUGGUUAAUUCUCUUGGAGAAUCCCUCUCUUUAUAGGAGUGUUCGGGUCACAACCGUUGUGUCUUACAAUGGUUGGUGAUGGACAAAAAUAUAUGUGAGAAGAAUGACUUGUGGUGAGAACGGGUAUGGGAAAAAUCUAGGGUUUCUAGGGUUCAUAUGGGUGAAGCUAGAAUUCAUGAUGUUCUUCAUGUUCUUGUCUAAAGUCGAAGCAACCAUGGCGGUGGAGGUUUAUGGAAGAAGAAGAACAAAGGAAGAGGUAAACUCUUCGUAAUAUGUCUUGUUGUUUCUAACGUUUAGGCUACUGGGUUACAUAACUAGUUGAUUAUGUGAUGUGUGUCGAUGUAAUAACUUGUUAUGAUAAUGAAGAUUCUCGGGUGGUUUUGGCCUUGGAUGUAGCCUAUAAAGGUGAACCACGUAAUCUUUUUGUCGUGUGUGAUUGUCUAUUAUCAUAUUGAUCAUAUAUUCGUGCUAGUAUUAUUCGAUCAUGCUAAUCUAAAGAUGUAAGAGACGGAUUCGAGCUAAGUUAUCUAAAGUAGGAUGUUUCAUGGAAUUGACUUCUAUGGAAACAUGCCGGUUCGAGAUGAACAUAACCUCGGUUUCCCGACAAAGUGGUGCGAUGAGCGUGGAUAAAGAUGCCAGGGAUUCGGUAAUUCGAACAAGAGGUUUCAAAGAAAAGAAAAUCUUGGUUCGUAGCGGAAUGAUAUAGAUCGUGAAGAUGAUGAGUAAAUCAAGACCGAACAAAUAAUGGGACGAUAUCAAAAAAGAUUCGACAACUUUGCUUGAUGUGACUAUGAUUCGUGUUGAAGGUGUUUUUUCUUUAUGAGAAAAUCGUUCGUGGAUUCAACUGGCGUCUGCAAAUAUUUCCAGGAGAAUGUUUUGAAUCAUGGUGGUGCUAAGUGACAAUCGUUCAUACACAACAUAUGGAGAUUGCAGCAUGUUUUGUCUACAUGGAGGAUGACUCAAGAUUGUUGGUUCUUAGAGUAGGUGAAAUCCAUCCGGAAUUGUUUGAAUGGCUCAGUUUAAACAAUGUCAAGUGUUAGACAUGUGUCAAAGAAGAAGUAUUCUAAGAAGGUGGAAUAAUGAGUGAUCAUAGCGACGAAGUAGUUUGAUACAGGUCAUGCAGAAACUUGUAUAAAUUAUAUAAAGAAGUUGUUUGUGGUGAUGCUAGAAGAUCGACAAAUAACGAUUCCGGUGGUGCAAGUGCAAAAGAGAAAUUCGGCUUAGGUGGUGGUUCAAGCUCAAAGUGCAAGACAAUUUUGAUUCGUGCUAGUGAUGAUGUCCACGAGGUGGUAAACAUUCAUGCUUUGUUGGAGUGAAGACGAAGGUUUUGGUGAUUGUUGGGAUUUUGUUCCGUAUACAAAACUAUAUGGCUGAAAUUGGACUUUAGGUAACAGUUUUGCAGCAGAAAACGGUGAUCUAAUGUUGUCAAAACCGUGGCUAAAGGUCAUUUUCGGGUUUGGAAUUUCUACAAGUUUUACUUGGAUUAAGAAACUUGUAUGACGGCUUGGUAGAGUGUUUUCCAAGUUUAGGGUUUCUUAAUUAAGGUGGAAGACCAUUAUUAGAAGUUCUAGAAGACUUGGGAAGCAAGGAUUUGUCUAUUAUAUAAGAGGGCUUAUAUUGUAGAAAAUCCAGUCUCUCGUUUAAUUCUCUUGGAGAAUCCUCUCUUUAUGGGAGUGUUCGGGUCACAACCGUUGUGUCCUACAAUGGUUGGUGAUAGGAAAAAAUCUAUAUGAGAAGAGUGACUUGUGGUGAGAACGGGUAUGGGAGAAAUAUAGGGUUUCUAGGAUUUAUAUGGGUGAAGCUAGAAUUCAUGAUGUUCUUCAUGUUCUUGUCUAAAGUCGAAGCAACCAUGGUGGUGGAGGUUUAUGGAAGAAGAA